GAUGAACGCUGGCGGCGUGCCUAAUACAUGCAAGUCGAGCGAACAGACGAGGAGCUUGCUCCUCUGACGUUAGCGGCGGACGGGUGAGUAACACGUGGAUAACCUACCUAUAAGACUGGGAUAACUUCGGGAAACCGGAGCUAAUACCGGAUAAUAUAUUGAACCGCAUGGUUCAAUAGUGAAAGACGGUUUUGCUGUCACUUAUAGAUGGAUCCGCGCCGCAUUAGCUAGUUGGUAAGGUAACGGCUUACCAAGGCGACGAUGCGUAGCCGACCUGAGAGGGUGAUCGGCCACACUGGAACUGAGACACGGUCCAGACUCCUACGGGAGGCAGCAGGAGGGAAUCUUCCGCAAUGGGCGAAAGCCUGACGGAGCAACGCCGCGUGAGUGAUGAAGGUCUUCGGAUCGUAAAACUCUGUUAUUAGGGAAGAACAAAUGUGUAAGUAACUAUGCACGUCUUGACGGUACCUAAUCAGAAAGCCACGGCUAACUACGU
rnacentral:rRNA from 1 species